CUUGCUAGUUGUUUCAUUUACGAAUAGAUCCUUCUAAUUAUACUACUAAUUUAGAGACUAAUAUGUAAAUAAUAAUUGUCAAUUAAAUCCCUACAUAUUUACAAAUAAGUUCCCAUUUUAAAUUUCUACAUAGCUAGAAGAUUCCAAAGAUCUUCCAUACAAAUUCAUGAAAUUCUAAGAUUCUCCACAUGUCUCUAAAAUCUUCCAAUAUGAGAUAACCUUCUUCCAAUCUAGAACUUCUACAUGAAUAACUUUAUGUCACGUAGCACCUAAGUGGUAUAAUAACAUGGCGAAUCAUGAUAAUAGGAUUGAUAACUUGAUAUCAUCACAAACUUCUAUGAAGAUAUAUACUCUUAAUUUAACCUACUUUCUUUAAUAAAAUAAAUACAUAAACUAAUAACAAUUUUUUUAAAAAAUUUAAUUGUCAUGUAUACUUGAUAAAUAAAUAAAUUUUACAGGUGAAUCGUUAAAUUUUACUAUACUUUAUUACAAAAGAAAUGAUCAAACUACUUCUUUUUUUUAAAAAAAUAUAGUAAUAAAAUGGUCACUCAACAUUUGUAUAAAAAUUAGCUACUAGAAGGAUGAAUGAGAUUGAGAGACGGGGGAGAAAGGUGAGUGAGAUUGAGCGAGAAAGAUGAGAGGCAAGAGACGAGAAGCAAGUGAGAUAUAAUUGAUUUGUAUAUUUAAUUGUUAAUUGUAUCACAUAUACAAUAGACACAAUUGAUUUUUAUCAAUGAAUACAAUUAUAUAAAAAAAACUUAUCUAUUUAAUUUGUUGAUGCACACCAAUUAUAUCAAAUAUAUUAAUGAAUAUAAUUUGUAUCAAUAAAUACAAUCGUAUCAUUAUUGUAAUUCUUAUAAACACUGAAAAUGGUCUAGAAUGAAUAAUUAACAUUUAACAAUAAGCUCAUGCUUUCAGGGAAAUAAGGAUCUAAAAAACUACACCUUUUAUCUAAUAUUUUAUUUAUUAAGUGCGACAGUAUAAAGAAGUCUUCCAUAAAAAUGAUCUACUAAACUUAUUCGUUACUCAACUAUUAAUUUUUUUUUUCAACUAAAAACAAUUAAAGAUUCUAACAAUAAAUUCACCUUUCAUAGUCAUAUAAAUAUUUUAAAAAUUUAUUUUAGAUCAUAAAUUUUAUUUUAAAUUUUUUUAUGCCCUAGUUAAAUAGUCAUGUCUCAUUAAUUGAGACAAGUAUAGAAGAAACUUUUAAUGGCAUUGAGACAAGUAUAAAAGAAAUCCUGGCAUCCUCCGAUAUUGAGUACACAAAUAGACACAUACACCCCAUAUAACGUUCUAUAUGAUAAUUUGUAGCAUGACAUCCUACUUGUAUUAUGUUACGUUGAAGAUAUUUAUAUCUAUUAUUCAACUUUAUAUAAUUUUAGGUGUUUAUUUACUAAAUUAAGCUAAAAGACAUUUAUGCCAAACUUUUAACAUGUUACAUAUUUGGAUGUAUUUAAUUUGUGAGAGUUGGAAGGGAUGGGCAGCAGGGAGUUCAAGCAUGGAAAUCGUAAAAACAUAAACAUCUAUAAGCUGUCCUCUUAAUAAAAUGAGGAGAUGAGCCAUUUUCCAUACCUUAUCCAGCCUGUAUAAAAUAUCCCCUAUUUUUUUUUUUUUAAAGAGGUCACCGAAACACAAAUAAAAUAAAAUAAAAUACUGUAGUUUUUUUUUUUUUUUUUAAAUUUUAAAAAGAUAUCCUCAAAAGUGACGAUUAAGUAAAAAACACGUCAGACCUAAUCUAGAAAGAAGCAUACCCCCUCGACCCCAUCAAAUUUUCCAUAAUUACCCCAAAAUUCAUAGGGGUAUUAUCGUCAAUACAUCACCCUCACCCCACAAUUUGCCUGAUACGCGUAUCCAAUGAGGCCAUUAUUCCAUCGCCAUUACCGACCUCUCUCCUCCUUAAAACCUCCAUUUCCCCUUCCCCUCUUUCCCAUUUCUUCAUCCAAACCAAACCACAAACCACUCUCCCCAUCCCCUCUCUCUCGCUCUGCGAAUUUCGUAUUUUUUCUUUCUAGAUUGAAGCAGGCAAUCGAAUUUUGUCAUAAUUUUUAAAUUUUACACAAAAAAAAUGGCUCAGAGAACGGAAAAAGAAGAGACGGAGUUCAAGGCCGUACCUGAAACUAUAACGCUUUGCAUCAAUUGUGGAGUCACAGGAAAUCCAGCCACAAACAAUAUGUGUCAAAAGUGCUUCAACGCCACCACCGCGGCUACCUCAACUUCAUCCAGCUCGCCGACGGGGUCGGCGGUGACGAUUCCUCACAAGUUCGCUGAGAAAUUGGUCAGAUCUGAAAAAUCGGCGAGAUUCAGCUCGUUGAGGUCGUUGCCGGACAGGAAGUCUGAUCUGGACAGGAUGAGUCAAGAUCUGAAGAAAGUUGGAGAUUGGAUGAUGGUAAAGGAGGAGGAUCAACUGAAGGAAAGCUUACCGCCGGCUAAGAGAGAGGUGAAUCGUUGCUCCGGUUGUCGAAGGAAGGUAGGAUUGACCGGAUUCCGAUGCCGGUGCGGCGAAUUGUUCUGCGGUGAACAUCGAUACUCCGAUCGUCAUGAUUGUAACUACGACUACAAAACCGCCGGC
rnacentral:lncRNA from 1 species